GACGAACCGUGCAAACGUUGUUCGGAAUCACUGGGCUUAAAGGGCGCGUAGGCGGGCAAGCAAGUCGAAGGUGAAAUCCCACGGCUCAACCGUGGAAGUGCCCCCGAUACUGCUUGUCUUGAGGGAGAUAGGGGCGUGCGGAACUUCCGGUGGAGCGGUGAAAUGCGUAGAUAUCAAGAGGAACACCUGAGGUGAAGACGGGUUGCUGGGCCAACACUGACGCUGAGGCGCGAAAGCCAGGGGAGCAAACGGG
rnacentral:rRNA from 1 species